rnacentral:tRNA from 1 species
GCCCCGGUGGCCUAAUGGUUAAGCGCUCAGCUGUUAACUGAAAGGUUCGUGGUUCGAACCAGCCCAGUGGCU